CCCACUGAUGUUGAAAAAUUAGGGGAUGAGCUGUGGAUAGGGGUGAAAGGCUAAACAAACUUGGAAAUAGCUGGUUCUCUCCGAAAACUAUUUAGGUAGUGCCUCAAGUAUCACCGACGGGGGUAAAGCACUGUUAUGGCUAGGGGGUCAUCGCGACUUACCAAACCAUUGCAAAACUCAGAAUACCGUUGAGUGCGAGCUUGGGAGACAGACAUCGGGUGCUAACGUCCGGUGUCAAGAGGGAAACAACCCAGACCGCCGAUUAAGGUCCCCGAAGACAUAGUUAAGUGGGAAACGAGGUGGGAAGGCUUAGACAGCCAGGAGGUUGGCUUAGAAGCAGCCAUCCUUUAAAGAAAGCGUAAUAGCUCACUGGUCGAGUCGUCCUGCGCGGAAGAUGUAACGGGGCUCAAACUAUGCACCGAAAUCGCGGAUAUCCGCAAGGAUAUGGUAGGAGAGCGUUCUGUAAGCCGAUGAAGGUGUCUUGAGAAGGAUGCUGGAGGUAUCAGAAGUGCGAAUGCUGACAUGAGU
rnacentral:rRNA from 1 species